AAAUCCUGUAUAUAAAUAUAUUUUGAAACAUAUUAACUCUGGUAUUCUAAUUAAAAAUAAAUACAUGCAUAAAUGAAUGUAACCUAAAUAAAACAUGUCCCCGAUACAUCAUGUCGGCGCAAAGACGUAAAUCCGCAAACCUCAACCGGGCUACAGCUUGUUAAACCGGGUACAGGGUCAGUUUUAAGUGCCAAAAGCUUCUGCACAACAACCACGUGUAACGUCAGAAAUGUGUACACUAUAUUUUAAUUAACGGGUUACCACAACGCACCUGCCCCGUGUCCAUUAGCAAAUUCUACGUAUGUAAUUUUAAAAGAAGGUAGUAACAUGCGAGUUUUACUACCGAUCUUUUCCAAUGUGAUGUAUAAAAACAUGAAACUUGGUUUUAAAUUCAUCUGAAAAUAUUAAAACUUUAAACAUCAAAGGGCUACUCAACGAGGCGAGUUCCAAGAACUAAUGGGGAAGCAACGACUAGCUUACAAGGCAAUACAAAAAAGUAUACGUCCACUCCAAACAUAAAGGUUUUAAUAUUUUGGAGUGCACUUAAAGUCCAUAUCAGUCUUUCGUUCAAAUUAAGCAUUCAUCAACGGCGAAGGAUAUUUUUGUUUUGCGUUGUGCAACACAGCUCAAUCAACACGUUCACACACGAAUACAACAGAUGUCAACUGUUGUUUCACAAAUCUGUACGUAACUCGAAACUCGAUUUGCAAGCUGUUUAAUUUUCACCGGUUAUUCAUUAGCCAGUUACCAACUCGUUAUUACGGACCAGUGAAUUAUUGCACGCGUGUAUGCCGGCUUGCGGAGCGGACGCGUUCGUCGCGGAAUCGCGGUUUCCGGUUCUCUUUACGCGCCAUACCGCAAAUGAGCAGCUCCUGGCGUGUACUCAACACUGUACAUUGUACAUAAAUGAUCAAUAAAGACGGAACGAUUAUGCGAAAAA